rnacentral:ncRNA from 1 species
CUGAUAUAGCGUCUCCAGCCAAUUAGAUUGUUUCCUUUGGAUUACCAAUCCUUUUAUGGUUAAUAAAAAAAUAUUUUUUUUGUACUUCUCUCUGGUGCAUGGCUGUCGUCAGCUCAUGCCGUAAGGUGUUGGGUUAAGUCCGGCAAUGAGCGCAACCCUCGUGUUUAGUUGUCACUAUUGAGUUUGGAAUCCUGAACAGACUGGCGGUGAUAAGCUGGAGGAAGGUGAGGAUGACAUCAAGUCAUCAUUCCUCUUAUGCCCUGGACGAUAUACGCGCUACAAUGGACGGGACAAAGGGUCGCGAUCCCACAAGGGUGAGCUAACUCCAAAAACCCAUCCUCAGUUCGGAUUGCAGGCUGCAACUCGCCUGCAUGAAGUCGGAAUCGCUAGUAAUCGCCGGUCAGCGAUACGGCGAU